rfam:Rhodococcus sp. RD6.2 genome assembly, contig: RHCRD62_Contig_5
GUCGGUCCUCGGUAGUGGCCACUCGGACGAUCACCCACGAGGGGUGACCUGCGAUUGGCUUCGAUCGAUGGCCGCC